GCGGCCGCCUAGUUCCAGCAGCUAAGCCGGCCUGGGGUUGCCUAGUUACUGCCCAGAGAACAAGGAAGAGGUUCUAAAUGCAGGCUGACGCUCUGGCAAUCUUCGUCAAACUCUGUGGUGGCGUUGGCUUCCUAGAGCUCCGGAGUUGCUUACCCUUCCUGUAAGGGCAAUCGGACCCUUUCCGGCAUGUGACAUAAUUAUCCCAGCGAUCACUAAAACUGUAAAUUUGGAUGCUCCACCCAUUUAUGGAAAUUUAAGUGAUGGAAUGUAAUCCAGAAUGUACUUUAUUUCUGAAAUCUCUGUAAAACAGUACAAUAGAAAAAUGAAAACUAAAGACAUAAUUGAGGAAAUCCAACAUCCCACAAAAAGGAAUUCUAGAAAGAUUUGCAGCUUGCUUGCUUGCUGAGUGGAAAAUGAUUCUUUCCCAGUUCUCCUUGGUUUCUUCCUUUCAUGAAUUGAUUAACACUGAGAGAUUAUGUUUUAAUUAUGUCGACUAGAGGUUUUAAAUGAUUCUAGGUUUCUGUGUCCAUUUGUUUUCCUAGGUUUGGGGAAUUUGCUACUGCAAUAUCGUUGUGUAGAUAUUCUUUGCUUUAGUGAGAAACUCAGCUCCUUCUACUCUGUGGUUCUUAGCUUUAGUCUAUUGUACACAUCACAGAGUUAAUGAAAGCUGUGGUCAUACUUGAUUUUUUCUUCAUUACUAUUGAAAUAAAGCAUAUCCUUGACCUUGU
ensembl:processed_transcript 2810403D21Rik RIKEN cDNA 2810403D21 gene